AAAGCAGGUCAUAGUGAUCCGGUGGUUCUGAAUGGAAGGGCCAUCGCUCAACGGAUAAAAGGUACUCCGGGGAUAACAGGCUGAUACCGCCCAAGAGUUCAUAUCGACGGCGGUGUUUGGCACCUCGAUGUCGGCUCAUCACAUCCUGGGGCUGAAGUAGGUCCCAAGGGUAUGGCUGUUCGCCAUUUAAAGUGGUACGCGAGCUGGGUUUAGAACGUCGUGAGACAGUUCGGUCCCUAUCUGCCGUGGGCGCUGGAGAACUGAGGGGGGCUGCUCCUAGUACGAGAGGACCGGAGUGGACGCAUCACUGGUGUUCGGGUUGUCAUGCCAAUGGCACUGCCCGGUAGCUAAAUGCGGAAGAGAUAAGUGCUGAAAGCAUCUAAGCACGAAACUUGCCCCGAGAUGAGUUCUCCCUGAGACUUAAAGUCUCCUGAAGGAACGUUGAAGACG
rnacentral:rRNA from 1 species